rnacentral:lncRNA from 1 species
UUACUUCGGGUUCGAAAUCACUCACUUGACUAUUAAGCCUACGGGCUAGAUUACUUCGAGUUCGAAAUCACUCACUCGACUACUAAGCCUACAGGCUGCAUUACUUCGAGUUUGAAAUCACUCACUUGACUACUAAGCCUACGGGCUACAUUACUUCGAGUUCGAAAUCGCUCACUCGACUAUUAAGCCUACGGGCUAGAUUACUUCUAGUUCGAAAUCACUCACUCGACUACUAAGCCUACAAGCUGCAUUAUUUCGAGUUCAAAAUCACUCACUAGACUAUUAAGCAUUUGGGUUACCUUACUUCGAGUUCGAAAUCACUCACUCGACUACUAAGCCUACGGGCUACAUUACUUCGGGUUCGAAAUCACUCACUCGAUUACUAAGCCUACGGGCUACAUUAUUUCUAGUUUGAAAUCACUCACUCGACUGAGCUACAUUACAUCGAGUUCAAAAUCACUCACUCGAUUAUUAAGCCUACGAGCUACAUUACUUCGAGUUCGAAAUCACUCACUCGACUACUAAGCCUACGGGCUUCAUUACUUCGAGUUCGAAAUCACUCACUAGACUACUAAGCCUACGGGCUACAUUACUUCGAGUUCGAAAUCACUCACUCGACUACUAAGCCUACGGGCUACAUUACUUCGGGUUCGAAAUCACUCACUCGACUGAGCUACAUUACUUCGAGUUCAAAAUCACUCACUCGAUUAUUAAGCCUACGAGCUACAUUACUUCGAGUUCGAAAUCACUCACUCGAUUACUAAGCCUAUGGGCUACAUUACUUCGAGUUCGAAAUCACUCACUCGACUACUAAGUCUACGGGCUACAUUACUUCGAGUUCGAAAUCACUCACUCGACCACUAAGCCAACGGGCUACAUUACUUCGAGUUCAAAAUCACUCACUCGACUACUAAGCCUACGGGCUACAUUACUUCGAGUUCGAAAUCACUCGCUCGACUACUAAGCCUACGGGCUACAUUACUUCGAGUUCGAAAUCACUCACUCGACUAUUAAGCCUACGGGCUACAUUACAUCGAGUUCGAAAUCACUCACUCGACUACUAAGCCUACGGGCUACAUUAUUCGAGUUCGAAAUCACUCACUUGACUAUUAAGCCUACGGGCUACAUUACUUCGAGUUCGAAAUCACUCACUCGACUACUAAGCCUAUGGGAUACAUUACUUCGAGUUCGAAAUCACUCACUCGACUACUAAGCCUACGGGCUACAUUACUUCGAGUUCGAAAUCACUCACUCGACUACUAAGCCUACGGUAUACAUUACUUCGAGUUUGAAAUCACUCACUCGACUACUAAGCCUACGAGCUACAUUACUUCGAGUUCGAAAUCACUCACUUGACUAUUAAGCCUACGGGCUACAUUACUUCGAGUUCGAAAUCACUCACUCGACUACUAAGCCUACGGGCUACAUUACUUCGAGUUCGAAAUCACUCACUCGACUACUAAGCCUACGGGCUACAUUACUUCGGGUUCGAAAUCACUCACUCGACUACUAAGCCUACGGGCUACAUUACUUCGAGUUCGAAAUCACUCACUCAACUAUUAAGCCUACGGGCUACAUUACUGCGAGUUCGAAAACACUCACUCGACUAUUAAGCCUUUGGGUUACCUUACUUCGAGUUCGAAUCACUCACUCGACUACUAAGCCUACGAGCUACAUUACUUCUAGUUUGAAAUCACUCACUUGACUACUAAGCCUACGGGUUACAUUACUUCGAGUUCGAAAUCACACACUCGACUACUAAGCCUACGGGCUACAUUACUUCGAGUUCAAAAUCACUCACUCGACUACUAAGCCUACGGGCUACAUUACUUCGAGUUCGAAAUCACUCACUCGACUACUAAGC